rnacentral:rRNA from 1 species
GAGUAACACGUGGGUAAUCUGCCCUUCCCAGGGGGAUAACCGGGGGAAACCCCGGCUAAUACCCCGUAAGCUCGCGGGAUCGCAUGGCCCCGCGAGGAAAGGUAGCUUCGGCCAUCCGGCGAAGGAUGAGCCCGCGGUACAUUAGCUUGUUGGUGGGGUAACGGCCCACCAAGGCGACGAUGUAUAGCUGGUCUGAGAGGAUGAUCAGCCACAUUGGGACUGAGACACGGCCCAGACUCCUACGGGAGGCAGCAGCCGGGAAUCUUGCGCAAUGGGCGAAAGCCUGACGCAGCAACGCCGCGUGAGCGAUGAAGGUCUUCGGAUCGUAAAGCUCUGUUGUUGGGGACGAAGGGCGAAGGGUUAAUAG